UUUGAAGAUUACAAAAUCAAGAGAAAAGGGAAAAAGAGAGGAACUUUUUUUUCCAAGAAAGAAAAUGGCAACAGUAGUUGAUGCUUGUGUUUGUGAGAUUACAAAGAUAAGUGAAAAGGUUAGAGCCAAAAGCCUUUUCUUGUUGAAGAAGAAAAAAACAGGGGAAAAAGUGGAAGAAAG